rnacentral:rRNA from 1 species
CCUACGGGCGUCAGCAGUGGGGAAUAUUGCACAAUGGGGGAAACCCUGAUGCAGCAACGCCGCGUGAGUGAAGAAGUAUUUCGGUAUGUAAAGCUGUAUCAGCAGGGAAGAAAAUGACAGUACCUGACUAAGAAGCCCCGGCUAACUACGUGCCAGCAGCCGCGGGAAUACGUAGGGGGCAAGCGUUAUCCGGAUUUACUGGGUGUAAAGGGAGCGUAGACGGCUGCGCAAGUCAGAAGUGAAAGCCCGGGGCUCAACCGCGGGACUGCUUUUGAAACUGUGUAGCUGGAGUGCAGGAGAGGUAAGUGGAAUUCCUAGUGUAGCGGUGAAAUGCGUAGAUAUUAGGAGGAACACCGGUGGCGAAGGCGGCUUACUGGACUGUAACUGACGUUGAGGCUCGAAAGCGUGGGGAGCAAACAGGAUUAGAUACCCCAGUAGUC